CCGAUAGCGUAUAUUAAAGUUGCUGCAGUUAAAAAGCUCGUAGUUGAAUUUCGGGACCAAUAUGUCGGUCGUGCUUCGGUACGUACUGUCAUUAUUGGUUUCUCCCUUCUGAAGAACCUUGAUGUCAUUAAUUUGGUGUCUUGGGGAAUCAGGACUGUUACUUUGAAAAAAUUAGAGUGUUUAAAGCAGGCUCGCGCUUGAAUACAUUAGCAUGGAAUAAUGAAAUAGGACGGUUGAUUCUAUUUUGUUGGUUUCUAGGAUCGACGUAAUGAUUAAUAGGGAUAGUUGGGGGCAUUAGUAUUCAAUUGUCAGAGGUGAAGUUCUUGGAUUUAUUGAAGACUAACUACUGCGAAAGCAUUUGCCAAGGGUGUUUUCAUUAAUCAAGAACGAAAGUUAGGGGAUCGAAGACGAUCAGAUACCGUCGUAGUCUUAACCAUAAACUAUGCCGACUAGGGAUCGGAUGAUGUUAAUUUUUUAAUGACUCAUUCGGCGCCUUGCG
rnacentral:rRNA from 1 species